AAUAGAACUGGGAGCUGAGCCUGGAGCGGUUCUGGGCUUUUGGUUCUCUGCAUCAACACAGCCAGCAUGCCUAUGAUUUCUGUGCUGGGCAAAAUGUUUCUGUGGCAGCGUGAAGGGCCUGGAGGACGAUGGACUUGUCAGACAAGUCGCAGAGUGUCCUCGGACCCCGCUUGGGCUGUGGAGUGGAUCGAACUUCCUCGGGGUCUCUCUCUAUCCUCUUUGGGAUCUGCUCGAACCCUCCGAGGCUGGAGCAGGUCCUCCCGCCCUUCCUCGGUGGACAGUCAGGACUUGCCAGAGGUGCUGGGCCCCUGGUGGUGGGGGGAAGGAGGACGGCAUCCAUUUAAAGGGGAUCUGCAGCCCCCACCCACGCCUGGCCAGCCAGCUUCUGGCUCCCUUUUCCGGCGAGCGGAGGCGCUAUCCGGCGGCGGGCCGGGAGGCCGCCCCCGUGCCGGUCUGCUCUGCUCGGCGCUGUGCCAGCAGGCGGAGAGCUCGCGCCUUCCGCGCUGACGUCAGCGCAUCCCGGGCCGUAUCCCGGGAGACCCUGUUGCGUGGUGAUGGGUUGCCAGGGAGACAUACACCUUUUCUCUGGGCCUGGGCCGCAGCUGCGCGGAGCGCCGGGCACGGAUGGCGGCGGCUGAGGGGAGCGAAGCGAGGGAGGGAGAGCAAGCUAAGAAACACCCAGCAGGUGCUCCCCCGCCGAGGCCUGGCUGGAGGCUACUGGCGCCACCCUGGGGGCCCUGUCAGCCAGGUACCCAAGGGGAGGGAUCGAGGGUGGGCCUCAGGUCAAGGGGCAGUGUUGGUUGGCUGCCCUUGUGAGGGACGGGAACGUGAUAGAAGAGAGCUGGGCAAUGCCGGGGAGGGAUGUGUGCCUCCAACUUCAUUAAGUGAGGGCAACAUUUGCUGGGGCUUGUCAGGGAGCCCUGAGCCAGGUACAGGGUGGAGUUAGGAACUUAGGUGCAUCAAACUUAGGCCUUGCCAUCCUGAGCUCCCUCAGGAGACAGACAAGGGCAAUGAUGGGGGCGGGGUGUGUCAGAGAAAAGAAGAGGCUGUCGGCUGAAAGCAUUAUUUGCAAGUGACACUUGAGAUGGGCCUUAAGUGAUGGCAAGCAUUUUUUCACGUAAGGAUGGCAUUCUUGGCCCAGAGGAAAGCUGAGUUCCUUUUCCUGGAGGCAGGCGGGCUGCUUGCUGACAGCGAUUGGUGGAGAAGGGUUUUCGUUUUUUGUUAUUUAUUUUUAUUUAUUUAUUUUUUUGAGACGGAGUUUCGCUCUUGUUGCCCAGGCUGGAAUGCAAUGGUGCGAUCUCGGCUCACCGCAGCCUCUGCCUCCCGGGUUCAAGCGAUUAUCCUGCCUCAGCCUCCAGAGUAGCUGGGAUUACAGGCAUGCGCUGCCACGCCCGGCUGAUUUUGUAUUUUUAGUAGAGGCGGGGUUUCACCAUGUUGGCCAGGCUGGUCUCCAACUCCCGACCUCAGGUGAUCCGCCUGCUUCGGCCUCCCAAAAUGCUGGGAUUACAGGCGUGAGCCACUGCGCCCGGCCUGAGAAGGGGGGUUUUAUUGGGCAGAGGAGAUCAGCAGUGGAUUCAAAGGAGGCUUGGAAGGAGGCAAGGGUGUCACAGAGUGGGAUCCUUCAGGGCCUGGGUAUGAUGCCUGCACUAACCUCACUGGACAGUAGCGUAGGCUAGACAAGAUUUUAGAGAUGUGUUGUGACCAGCUGCACUCCAGGAAAACUGUUUACAUUAUAUCUUACCUCAUUCAUCCAGCCUUUGCAUUUUUGUUUGCUUGUUUUUGAGACAGAGUCUUUUUCUGUCGCCCAGGCUGGAGUGCAGUGGCACAAUCUUGGCUCACUGCAAUCUCCGCCUCCUGGGUUCAAGCAAUUCUCCUGCCUCAGCCUCCUGAGUAGCUGGGAUAACAGGCACCCGCCACCAUGCCCUGCCCAUUUUAAAAAUUAUUUUUAGUGGAGAUGGGGUUUCACCAUGUUGGCCUGGCUGGUCUCAAACUCCUGACCUCAGAUGAUCUACCCACCUUGGCCCCUUGGCCUCCCAAAGUGCUGGAAUUACAGGCGUGAGCCACCACGCCUGGCCCAGCCUAUGCAUUUUUUUUUUUUUUUUUGAGACGGAGUCUUGCACUGUAGCCUAAGCUGGAGUGCAGUGGUGCGAUCUCGGCUCACCGCAACCUCCGCCUCCCGGGUCCUGGUUCAAGCAAUUUUCUUGCCUCAGCCUCCUGAGUAGCUGGGAUUACAGGAACGUGCCACCAUGCCCAGCUAAUUUUUGUAUUUUUAAUAGAGACGGGGUUUCACCAUGUUGGCCAGGCUGGCCUUGAACUCGUGACCUCAUGAUCCGCUCACCUCGGCCUCCCAAAGUGCUGGGAUUACAGGCAUGAGCCACUGACGCCCGGCCAGCCUAUGCAUUUUUAAGAAAUUAUUCUGUAUUAGGUGCUGUGCUAAACAUUGGGCACUACAGUGACCAAAACAGACUGAAUUCCCCAAGAGCCAAAGACCAGUGAGGGAGACCAACAAGAAACAGGAAAUGCAAAAGAGACCAUUAUUACUCACUAUGACUAAGGGCCACAAAUGGGGUACGUUGAUGGAGAGUGAUUUGUUAGAGACUACAGAGGGAGGACAGACUACCAAGAGGGGGGCCAGGAAAGCUCCUCUGACGAGGUGGUAUUUCAGCCCAAACUGGAAGAAUGAGAAAGAGCUAGCCAGCCAUCAGAAUAGUCCAGAAGAGAUGGGGAGCACUACACUCACUACACUUUGGCCUGAGAAAACAGCAUGGGAUUGGAGGAGGCUGGGGGAACACCACUUCUGCCAACCUGGGCAGGAGGCAUUGAGGGCUUGAGAAAGGGCAAUGGCAGUAGCAGUAGAAAGGACAGGGUAGGAGCAGGGACUUUGCAGGUGGAAUCAUUAGGUCUUAUCAACAGAUAUGGGUAAGCAAAGCCAGGGGAGAAUUGAUGGUAAUGCUGAGGUUUGGAGCCAGGCUAGAUGGGACAGUGGUGGGUGAUGCAAAGGAAAGAGGUCAGGAAGCAGGGCCAGACGUGGGGAGAAGGUGUGGGGGUUUGGUUUCCAUCUUGCCGAGUCUGCCGGAAUGUGGAUGGGAAGACCAAGAGGAGGAGCAAGGGGCAGAGGGGAAGGGAAUCCUAAAGAAGUCCUGGAUGCCACACUCUUCUUCCUUCCUCCUCUUCCCUCUCCUCAGAGGUCCCACUCGUGGUUCUUCAUUUCCUGCCCUGCCUCC
rnacentral:sRNA from 1 species